rnacentral:rRNA from 1 species
CACGUAGUUAGCCGGAGCUUAUUCUUUGGGUACCGUCAUUGUUUUCGUCCCCAAUUAAAGAUCUUUACAACCCGAAGGCCUUCUUCAAUCACGCGGCGUUGCUGCGUCAGGGUUGCCCCCAUUGCGCAAUAUUCCCCACUGCUGCCUCCCGUAGGAGUCUGGGCCGUGUCUCAGUCCCAAUGUGGCCGUUCAACCUCUCAGUCCGGCUACUGAUCGUCGCCUUGGUGGGCCGUUACCCCGCAACUAGCUAAUCAGACGCGAGCUCAUCCAAAGGCAAUAAAUCUUUGGCAGCAAAAUCAUGCGAUCUCACUGCGUUAUGCGGUAUUAGCAGCCGUUUCGGCUGUUAUCCCCACUAAGGGCAGAUUGCUCACGCGUUACUCACCCGUCCGCCACUAACUUAUGAAUUCCGCUACCCGAAAGACGUUUACCAAAAUUAGUCCGUUCGACUUGCUAUGUGUUAGGCACGCCGCAGCGUUCAUCCUGAGCCAGGAUCAAACUCU